rnacentral:sRNA from 1 species
GGUGAUGUGUCUGAUCAGAGCGCGUGUUCGCUGCAGGCACGGUCGGCUUCCCGCUAGACCUCGGAUGCGCGGGGAUAGGAUGAUACUGUGUCGCUGGGGGUCAUGGCUGGUGGCUGUUCCAUGUCUCACUUUUUCACUCCGAUGAACCCCUGACAUGGUGAGAGUGAGAUGACUGGUGACAGUGUGGGUUUUUUUUUGUCAGUAUGGGCUCUUGAGUUGAUUGUCAAUUGUGGAUCUACAGAUUGUAGAACCAGUUGAAGAUGCUCUGAUACCUCAGCACGCUUGGUACUUACGCAUUCCUCCCAGAUUGCGGUUUCUGACGGCGUACCAUCACCGAAACAGAAUCGCGGAGACAUAUUGCGCAGCGAUUUCUUUCGAGAACUGCAGGCCGUGGUUCCAAGAUCGGCCUUUUUCAGCCGCUGGGGUCGUUUCGGAAUGUCAACUACCAGUUGGAGGAACGGGAAC